GAGAGGAGCAGAAGGAAAUGGAAGAUAAAGUGGCUAGUCCAGAGAAAGCUGAAGAAGCAAAAUUAAAAGCAAGGUAUCCUCACCUGGGACAAAAGCCUGGUAGUUCCGACUUUUUAAGAAAACGAUUACAGAAAGGGCAAAAAUAUUUUGAUUAUGGGGAUUACAACGUGGCAAAAGCAAAGAUGAAGAACAAGCAGCUUCCCGCUGCAGCCCCAGAUAAGACAGAGGUCACUGGUAACCACAUCCCCACUCCACAGGACCUUCCUCAGCGGAAACAAUCUCUGGUUGCUAGCAAGCUGGCUGGCUGAUUAAAAGAGCU